rnacentral:misc_RNA from 1 species
AAUUUGCUGAUUUCAUUUCAGACGUGGAAAUUUCUGCUUAGUUUGUUGUUUAGUUCAUUUCUGUUAUUUAUUUAUUUAUUGAAGGUGAUCAUUUCUCUGUGUCCUCCAUUGCAAGAGUUCGAGAAGUGUGGAUAGCAUGAAUAUUUUACUUUCUAUGAUGACUGCCUCUACUCUUCCCAUCUUUUUUUCUUCUUUUAUAUAUUAUACGUAUAUAUGUUGGAGUUGAACUAACCAUUUUCUAUUUUUUGUUAUUGCAG